rnacentral:rRNA from 1 species
CACGGAGUUAGUCGGGGCUUCUUCUGCUGGUACCGUCAUUAUCUUCCCAGCUGAAAGAGCUUUACAACCCUAAGGCCUUCAUCACUCACGCGGCAUGGCUAGAUCAGGGUUGCCCCCAUUGUCUAAGAUUCCCCACUGCUGCCUCCCGUAGGAGUCUGGGCCGUGUCUCAGUCCCAGUGUGGCUGAUCAUCCUCUCAAACCAGCUAUGGAUCGUCGGCUUGGUAGGCCAUUACCCCACCAACUACCUAAUCCAAUGCGGGCUAAUCCCUCCCCGAUAAAUCUUUCCCCCAAAGGGCGUAUACGGUAUUACCCCCAGUUUCCCAGGACUAUUCCGUAGAGAAGGGCAUAUUCCCACGCGUUACUCACCCGUCCGCCGCUAACCCCGAAGGGUCCGCUCGACUUGCAUGUGUUAGGCCUGCCGCCAGCGUUCGUUCUGAGCCAGGAUCAAACUCU